UUGGAGGGCAAGUCUGGUGCCAGCAGCCGCGGUAAUUCCAGCUCCAAUAGCGUAUAUUAAAGUUGUUGCAGUUAAAAAGCUCGUAGUUGAAUUUCGGGAUUGACACAUCGGUCGUGCCUUAAGGGGUAUGAACUGGUGUAGUCAGUUUCUCACCUUCUGGAGAACCGCGAUGUCCUUAAUUGGGUGCCGCGGGGAACCAGGACCUUUACUUUGAAAAAAUUAGAGUGUUUAAAGCAGGCAUUUUGCUUGAAUACAUUAGCAUGGAAUAAUAAAAUAGGACGGAUGGUUCUAUUUUGUUGGUUUCUAGGAUCACCGUAAUGAUUAAUAGGGAUAGUUGGGGGCAUUAGUAUUCAAUUGUCAGAGGUGAAAUUCUUGGAUUUAUUGAAGACUAACUACUGCGAAAGCAUUUGCCAAGGAUGUUUUCAUUAAUCAAGAACGAAAGUUAGGGGAUCGAAGACGAUCAGAUACCGUCGUAGUCUUAACCAUAAACUAUGCCGACUAGGAAUCAGACGAUGUUAAUUUUUUAAUGACUCGUUCGGCACCUUACGGGAAAC
rnacentral:rRNA from 1 species